CGAACAUGUUGGUUAAACCCCCUCCUUUACUAAUUAACCCUCACGCAUUAUUUA
rnacentral:tRNA from 1 species